GCAAGUCGAGCGGAAACGAUGGUAGCUUGCUACCAGGCGUCGAGCGGCGGACGGGUGAGUAAUACUUAGGAAUCUACCUAGUAGUGGGGGAUAGCUCGGGGAAACUCGAAUUAAUACCGCAUACGACCUACGGGAGAAAGGGGGCAGUUUACUGCUCUCGCUAUUAGAUGAGCCUAAGUCGGAUUAGCUAGAUGGUGGGGUAAAGGCCUACCAUGGCGACGAUCUGUAGCUGGUCUGAGAGGAUGAUCAGCCACACCGGGACUGAGACACGGCCCGGACUCCUACGGGAGGCAGCAGUGGGGAAUAUUGGACAAUGGGGGAAACCCUGAUCCAGCCAUGCCGCGUGUGUGAAGAAGGCCUUUUGGUUGUAAAGCACUUUAAGCAGUGAAGAAGACUCCGUGGUUAAUACCCACGGACGAUGACAUUAGCUGCAGAAUAAGCACCGGCUAACUCUGUGCCAGCAGCCGCGGUAAUACAGAGGGUGCAAGCGUUAAUCGGAAUUACUGGGCGUAAAGGGAGCGUAGGUGGCUCGAUAAGUCAGAUGUGAAAUCCCCGGGCUCAACCUGGGAACUGCAUCUGAUACUGUUGAGCUAGAGUAUGUGAGAGGAAGGUAGAAUUCCAGGUGUAGCGGUGAAAUGCGUAGAGAUCUGGAGGAAUACCGAUGGCGAAGGCAGCCUUCUGGCAUAAUACUGACACUGAGGCUCGAAAGCGUGGGUAGCAAACAGGAUUAGAUACCCUGGUAGUCCACGCCGUAAACGAUGUCUACUAGUCGUUGGGUCCCUUGAGGACUUAGUGACGCAGCUAACGCAAUAAGUAGACCGCCUGGGGAGUACGGCCGCAAGGUUAAAACUCAAAUGAAUUGACGGGGGCCCGCACAAGCGGUGGAGCAUGUGGUUUAAUUCGAUGCAACGCGAAGAACCUUACCUGGUCUUGACAUAUCUAGAAUCCUGCAGAGAUGCGGGAGUGCCUUCGGGAAUUAGAAUACAGGUGCUGCAUGGCUGUCGUCAGCUCGUGUCGUGAGAUGUUGGGUUAAGUCCCGCAACGAGCGCAACCCUUGUCCUUAGUUACCAGCGGGUUAAGCCGGGAACUCUAAGGAUACUGCCAGUGACAAACUGGAGGAAGGCGGGGACGACGUCAAGUCAUCAUGGCCCUUACGACCAGGGCUACACACGUGCUACAAUGGUAGGUACAGAGGGCAGCUACACAGCGAUGUGAUGCGAAUCUCAAAAAGCCUAUCGUAGUCCAGAUUGGAGUCUGCAACUCGACUCCAUGAAGUAGGAAUCGCUAGUAAUCGCGGAUCAGAAUGCCGCGGUGAAUACGUUCCCGGGCCUUGUACACACCGCCCGUCACACCAUGGGAGUUGAUUGCACCAGAAGUGGAUAGCUUAACCUUCGGGGGAGCGUCA
rnacentral:rRNA from 1 species